AGUGAACGCUGGCGGCAGGCCUAACACAUGCAAGUCGAGCGGCAGCGCGUCCGACCACCCUCGGGUGGUCGGAUGGCGGCGAGCGGCGGACGGGUGAGGAAUGCAUCGGAAUCUGCCUCGUUGUGGGGGAUAACGUAGGGAAACUUACGCUAAUACCGCAUACGACCUACGGGUGAAAGUGGGGGACCUUCGGGCCGUCACGCGAUGAGAUGAGCCGAUGCCGGAUUAGCUAGUUGGCGGGGGUAAAGGGACCCGACCAACGGCGACGAUCCGUAGCUGGUCUGAGAGGAUGAUCAGCCACACUGGAACUGAGACACGGUCCAGACUCCUACGGGAGGCGAGCAGUGGGGAAGUAUUGGUAC
rnacentral:rRNA from 1 species